GUGCUGGGUACAUGUUCCCAGGUGAGAGGGGCUGGCCUGUGUUGGAUACAUGUUCCCAGGUGAGUGGGGCUGGCCUGUGCUGGGGUACAUGUUCCCAGGUGAGUGGGGCUGGCCUG